GGGAGUGUAGCUCAAUGGUAGAGUGCAUGCUUAGCAUGCACAACGCCCUGGGUUCAACCCCUAGUACCUCCA
rnacentral:tRNA from 1 species